GGGGGGUCCUGGGGGGUCUCCCACGGGUCCGCUGCGUUCUGGGGGGGCCGCCGGGGCCCCCCCCCUGGGGCCGUACUCACAGUCCCCCUGUGCCGCCAGCUUCUUGCUCUCAGGCUGAUCUCCGUCCUCCAGCUGCCGUUUCUGCCCCCCAAAGCCAAAAUCCGGGGUGCUGUUGUUGACCGUCGUGGCCGCAUCGCCCCCAAUUUUCGCCGCUAUCUGCCGGGCCCUCUGCACGGCGUCGGCGAACGCGUCCUUCCGGAUCCCCCCUCCGGGUGGGCCUCCCCCGCCGGUGCCGCCUCCUCCUC
rnacentral:lncRNA from 1 species